UAUACUACAAUUGGGUCACCUUACAUGUUAAACUAUUAAGUUUAAAAAGUUUUUUAGUUGGUUUUAUUUUUUUGUUGGUUCUAUGUUUAUAAUUAACUAUUUGUCAUAUUAUAUAUAUAUAUAUAUAUAUAUAUAUAUAUAUAUACACACACACACAUAUAGUAAUCUAAUAAAAAAAGUAUAGUAAUCAUUAUAUACAUAUAUUAUGAUAUAAAAUAUCAUUUUCACUUUCCAAAUCACACUCACUGAAACACUCGCAGGGUUUCUGGGGGAAUUUAGGCACUCACAGUGUAUGUGUGUAUGUUUAUGCGAGGGGGAGUUUCCAUUGCGAGUGGGACUCCACUGUGGGUAGAGGGAAAUCUUUACAGUGUCGUAUUACAGCACUGUGAGGGGGAAGUGAGAGAUGCUUCUGUACAUCGUUUCUUUGAUUCAUUUGAUAUUUGAACGUGAUCAGUUACAGUCGUUGGACUCCGUGGAAUCAAAUCUCUGUCAUUUGAAAACGUUUUUUAAAGACUUAACCCAUUCAAGGUAAGUAAACCUAACAACGAUUGCCUAAUUUUGUCUGAUAUUACCAACUGAAAUUUUUUAAGUUUAGUUUCCAGCUAAAUUGGCAACUUUGUUGUUGUUAUACCUAACCAUUCGCUUUUUCUCAACAGAGCAAUGCAAGGACCAGAACUUGUUGACUCGAGGAGUCGUUUUCGAUUUAUUGAAUCCUGUCUCGGCUUGAUGGGCUGUUUGUGUAUCAACUAUGCGAUCUGGACAUCUCGGUGGCUGGAUGACCGGGGUCUGUGGACCUCACGGAAUGAGACCAGACUGGAUGACAGCCGGACCACUGAAGACAUUGCUAAAGCUCUGGAGGCUGAAAAAGUGUUUGCAGCAGUGGCUUUCCUGAUGUCUGUGAGCGCUGGACUGCUGUGUCUCAUGUUUGCCCUCUGCUGGACGUCUCAAACGGUGCGUUCCUACUCAAACACUCGCUCGCUGCUGAUGGCAGGCCAGGCACUCGACCCGACCACCCUGCUGCUGUUCACACUAGUACCUACAGGUUUUUUCUUUUUUCUCAGCUGGGCGCUUUUUACCCAUCAAUAUAUUGGUGAGAUAAGGGAUGAUGUCAGUCGACUCGGCCCAUCCUAUUGGCUGGGAGUGGUGGGUUGGGCUUCUCUAUUGGCCGUGCUGCCUGUGGUCUUCCUGGCAGAGAAGUUUGUGGUUCCCGACAUCCUGCCGGAGUUAAAAAAUGCUGCCCAAAUGUGGUGGAAGGCUCCGGAGGCUGCACACACGCGGUCGUUAAGUGAGGGUUGCCAUCGUUCACAGCAUAAGACUCAUCCUGACUUUAGGAGGUAUUUGUCAGUGCCUUGAACGAGAGGAAGAAGGUAGCAAGGAAAUACAGAGAAGAGACUCUGGUCUCGCUUGUCUUCUAGCCAUAUAUAUGAGCUGAGCAUAUCCCUCACAACAGGGGUCAAGGACCUGGAUGAGAAACCUGUAACUGCUCUCUGCGAUGUGACACACAAAGCUACAGGUUAUAAGGUUCAGUGCUGGCUUUGACAGUGGCUUCACAGAUGUAUUUGGACGAGGAUGCCCAAAUAUCAGAGUUCACUAUCUAAAUGUAAAACAUAAAGCUGAAAGGAUCUUGAAGUUGCAAAGAGGCUAUUUCUCUAGAACUUUUAAUAGUCGUUGCCUGCAGAUGUUAUUGUGUAAAUUAUACAGUGACUUUCAGGGAUGUAGACUUAAAUAUGCUAAAUUAUUAACUGAAAUAACAACAAAAAACACUAAAGUAGUUUAUAUCUGAUUGGUAAAUCUAUAAUAAAAUUACUAAGAAUGGCAAUAGGCAGUACUUAAGAAAUGCUACAAAUGCAAUCAUUAGUGGCAUAUUUAAAAAAUGAAAAUAUACGUUUUUUUUAAAAAAAGUUAUUGAAACAGUUUGAAACAUACUUGUUCUUGCAUAGAAAAAUGAUUCAUUUCUAAGAUCCACUUGACCUUUCCCCUUAUUCCCACUGCCAAAAGCGGUGAUCAUUUAAUUCCAGAUUUUUCUGCUUGUUCUCAAUUUUGUAGACAAUACUGAUUCAAAUAGUCAGAGCACUUUUCUACUGCUAACACUUAAUGUAAUAGGGACUUCCAGGUGCUAAUGCAGAAUUCAACACUACUAGAUAGUGCUGCAGUUGUUUUUUUGUUUUUUAUCUGUCUUUUUUUAAGUGCAAACAGUGCUCUCUACUGGCGAUAGUCCAAAGAGCAUCAUGUUCUAUCCUGUAUUUUUAAAGCUAUUUAACAAUACUUUUUGUACUGUUUUAAACCAAUAAAUGAAAUGGUUUUCAUAUAAAGUUGAGUCCAUAUCUAUCUAUCUAUCUAUCUAUCUAUCUAUCUAUCUAUCUAUCUAUCUAUCUAUCUAUCUAUCUAUCUAUCUAUCUAUCUAUCUUUAGAUAGAUAUCUAUUUAUGAUAGAUUACUAUUUUUUAGUUUUGUUUUUCAUUGUUAAUUUUUAACUUUCUAGUAAUUUUUGUGUUUUCUUCAUUUUAUUAAAUAUAUAACUAAAUACUUGUAUAGAUCCCACCCAAGAUGAGAUGAAUGAACUGGCUGUGUUAAUUGUGCAUUAAUCAGGUGCGGGUCUAAUUAAAAGGCAGUUCCGUCCUUUUAGCAGUGCCUAAUGAGUUUGUUAUUAAAUCCACAGAGAACUGUUUUUUUUUAUUUACUAUCAGGAAAGCACUUAAUUGGCCCCUCAGAACAGAACUUGAGUGUCCUUGAAGGUUGUGACGGUGGGGAGCUUGAGA
rnacentral:lncRNA from 1 species